GAAAGGGUGUGUUUUGAGGGGAGAACAGGGAAAUCGAGAGUGAAACUGUCCUUCCCACCAUCUCUUAGAGUGAGAGAGCCAGGUAGGGCUGUUGUCCUCAGAGAGUGUAAAAGUUUUGAAAAGGCAGCAGAAAGUCAAAAGAGAUGACCCCAAGGAAGUGAGGAAGGCGAGUGUUCUCAUCUUGGACUGACUACAAUUCAUUCACAGGAAUAGCUAAUAUUGGAGUUCUUAUUUUUUCUAGGUGUUUGAACACAGAACAUCUCACUUAACUCUUAGCACAAUCCUUAAGAUGGAUCCUUCCUUUUCCUCUCAGUGCCUGGGGCUGGGGAAUGAAGUGUCCUCUGCCUGAGGAGGUGGAGAGCCAAAUUUGUGAUCCACCUCCAGAAAAGACUUGAAUCUUUACAGUUGGAAUUUCCGUGUCGUGAGUGGU
rnacentral:lncRNA from 1 species